UACAGAGGGUGCGAGCGUUAAUCGGAAUUACUGGGCGUAAAGCGCGCGUAGGCGGCUUGUUAAGUCGGAUGUGAAAUCCCUGGGCUCAACCUAGGCAUUGCAUUCGAUACUGGCAAGCUAGAGUAUGGGAGAGGAAGGUAGAAUUCCAGGUGUAGCGGUGAAAUGCGUAGAGAUCUGGAGGAAUACCGAUGGCGAAGGCAGCCUUCUGGGCUAAUACUGACGCUGAGGUGCGAAAGCAUGGGGAGCAAACAGG
rnacentral:rRNA from 1 species